rnacentral:rRNA from 1 species
GACGAACGCUGGCGGCGUGCUUAACACAUGCAAGUCGAACGGAAAGGCCCUGCUUUUGUGGGGUGCUCGAGUGGCGAACGGGUGAGUAACACGUGAGUAACCUGCCCUUGACUUUGGGAUAACUUCAGGAAACUGGGGCUAAUACCGGAUAGGAGCUCCUGCUGCAUGGUGGGGGUUGGAAAGUUUCGGCGGUUGGGGAUGGACUCGCGGCUUAUCAGCUUGUUGGUGGGGUAGUGGCUUACCAAGGCUUUGACGGGUAGCCGGCCUGAGAGGGUGACCGGCCACAUUGGGACUGCGAUACGGCCCAGAAUCCUAUGGGAGGCAGCAGGGGGGAAUAUUGCACAAUGGGCGGAAGCCUGAUGCAGCAACGCCGCGUGCGGGAUGACGGCCUUCGGGUUGUAAACCGCUUUCGCCUGUGACGAAGCGUGAGUGACGGUAAUGGGUAAAGAAGCACCGGCUAACUACGUG